rnacentral:rRNA from 1 species
UUGCCCUAGUAACGGCGAGUGAAGCGGCAACAGCUCAAAUUUGAAAUCUGGCCCCCGGGUCGAGUUGUAAUUUGUAGAGGAUGCUUUUGGUGCGGUACCUUCCGAGUUCCCUGGAACGGGACGCCAUAGAGGGUGAGAGCCCCGUCUGGUUGGACGCCAAUCCUUUGUAAAGCUCCUUCGACGAGUCGAGUAGUUUGGGAAUGCUGCUCUAAAUGGGAGGUAUAUGUCUUCUAAAGCUAAAUAUUGGCCAGAGACCGAUAGCGCACAAGUAGAGUGAUCGAAAGAUGAAAAGCACUUUGAAAAGAGAGUUAAAAAGUACGUGAAAUUGUUGAAAGGGAAGCGCUCAUGACCAGACUUGGGCCCGGUUGAUCAUCCAGGGUUCUCCCUGGUGCACUCUUCCGGCCCAGGCCAGCAUCAGUUCGCUGUGGGGGAUAAAGGCUUCGGGAAUGUGGCUCCUCCGGGAGUGUUAUAGCCCGCUGCGUAAUACCCUGUGGCGGACUGAGGUUCGCGCAUCUGCAAGGAUGCUGGCGUAAUGGUCAUCAGCGACCCGUCUUGAAACACGGACCAAGGAGUCGUCUUCGUAUGCGAGUGUUCGGGUGUUAAACCCCUACGCGGAAUGAAAGUGAACGCAGGUGAGAGCUUCGGCGCAUCAUCGACCGAUCCUGAUGUUCUCGGAUGGAUUUGAGUAAGAGCAUACGGGGCCGGACCCGAAAGAAGGUGAACUAUGCCUGUAUAGGGUGAAGCCAGAGGAAACUCUGGUGGAGGCUCGCAGCGGUUCUGACGUGCAAAUCGAUCGUCAAAUAUGGGCAUGGGGGCGAAAGACUAAUCGAACCUUCUAGUAGCUGGUUUCCGCCGAAG